ACGGAGGGAGCUAGCGUUGUUCGGAAUUACUGGGCGUAAAGCGCACGUAGGCGGUUAUUCAAGUCAGAGGUGAAAGCCCGGGGCUCAACUCCGGAACUGCCUUUGAAACUAGAUAACUUGAAUCCAGGAGAGGUGAGUGGAAUUCCGAGUGUAGAGGUGAAAUUCGUAGAUAUUCGGAAGAACACCAGUGGCGAAGGCGACUAACUGGACAUGUAUUGACGCUGAGGUACGAAAGCGUGGGGAGCAAACAGGA
rnacentral:rRNA from 1 species